AUGGGGUUCUAUGGGGUUUUAAGGGGUUAUUAUGGGAUUCUAUGGGGUUCUAUGGGAUUUAUGGGGUUCUAUGGGGUUAUUAUGGGAUGUAUGGGGUUCUAUGGGGUUUAUGGGGUUCUAUGGGGUUAUUAUGGGAUGUGUGGGGUUUUAUGGGGUUAUUAUGGGAUGUGUGGGGUUCUAUAGGGUUCUGUGGGGUUCUAUGGGAUUUAUGGGGUUUUGUGGGGUUCUAUGGGAUUUAUGGGAUUUAUGGGGUUAUUAUGGGAUGUGUGGGGUUCUAUAGGGUUAUUAUGGGAUUUAUGGGGUUCUAUGGGAUUUAUGGGGUUCUAUGGGGUUUGUAUGGGAUUUAUGGGUUCUAUGGGAUUCUAUGGGAUGUAUGGGAUUUAUGGGGUUCUAUGGGGUUCUGUGGGGUUCUAUGGGAUUUAUGGGGUUCUAUGGGGUUAUUAUGGGAUUUAUGGGGUUAUUAUGGGAUUCUAUGGGGUUCUAUGGGGUUCUAUGGGGUUUUAUGGGGUUAUUAUGGGAUUCUAUGGGGUUCUAUGGGAUUUAUGGGGUUCUAUGGGGUUCUAUGGGGUUUAUGGGGUUCGAUGGGGUUAUUAUGGGAUGUGUGGGGUUUUAUGGGGUUAUUAUGGGAUUGUGGGGUUCUAUGGGAUUUAUGGCGUUCUAUAGGGUUCUAUGGGAUUUAUGGGGUUUUGUGGGGUUCUAUGGGGUUCUAUGGGGUUUUAUGGGGUUCUAUGGGAUUUAUGGGGUUCUAUGGGGUUCUAUGGGGUUAUUAUGGGAUGUAUGGGGUUUUACGGGGUUCUAUGGGGCUAUUAUGGGAUGUGUGGGGUUUCAUGGGGUUAUUAUGGGAUGUGUGGGGUUCUAUGGGGUUCUAUGGGGUUAUUAAGGCUUGUAUGCGGUUAUUAUAGGAUCUGUGGGGUUUUAUGGGGUUUUAUGGGGUUUUAUGGGGUUGUUAUGGGGUGUGUGGGGUUCUACGAAGUUAUAUGGGAUUAUUAUAGGGUGUAGGGGGUUCUAUGGGAUGUAUGGGUUGUAUGGGUUAUUAUGGGGUUCUAUGGGUUCUAUGGGGUUCUAUGGGAUUCUAUGGGUUCUAUGGGGUUAUGGGGUUCUAUGGGGUUCUAUGGGGUUAUGGGGUUCUAUGGGGUUCUAUGGGUUCAAUGGGAUUAUAUGGGUUCUAUGGGUUCUAUGGGGUUCUAUGGGGUUAUGGGGUCAUAUGGGGUUCUAUGGGGUUCUAUGGGGUUAUAGGGUUCUAUGGGGUUCUAUGGGUUCAAUGGGGUCAUAUGGGGUUGUACAGGGUUCUAUGGGGUUAUUAUGGGAUUCUAUGGGGUUUAUGGGGUUUAUGGGGUUCUAUGGGGUUAU
rnacentral:lncRNA from 1 species